rnacentral:rRNA from 1 species
UACGAAGGGUGCAAGCGUUAGUCGGAAUUACUGGGCGUAAAGCGUGCGUAGGCGGUUUUCUAAGUCUGCCGUGAAAGCCCCGGGCUCAACCUGGGAAUGACGAUGGAUACUGGAAAGCUGGAGUGCGGUAGAGGAGGGUGGAAUUCCCGGUGUAGCGGUGAAAUGCGUAGAGAUCGGGAAGAACAUCAGUGGCGAAGGCGGCCCUCUGGACCAGCACUGACGCUGAGGCACGAAAGCGUGGAGAGCAAACAGG